AGUCGUAACAAGGUCUCCGUUGGUGAACCAGCGGAGGGAUCAUUACCGAGUUUACAACUCCCAAACCCCUGUGAACAUACCACUUGUUGCCUCGGCGGAUCAGCCCGCUCCCGGUAAAACGGGACGGCCCGCCAGAGGACCCCUAAACUCUGUUUCUAUAUGUAACUUCUGAGUAAAACCAUAAAUAAAUCAAAACUUUCAACAACGGAUCUCUUGGUUCUGGCAUCGAUGAAGAACGCAGCAAAAUGCGAUAAGUAAUGUGAAUUGCAGAAUUCAGUGAAUCAUCGAAUCUUUGAACGCACAUUGCGCCCGCCAGUAUUCUGGCGGGCAUGCCUGUUCGAGCGUCAUUUCAACCCUCAAGCACAGCUUGGUGUUGGGACUCGCGUUAAUUCGCGUUCCCCAAAUUGAUUGGCGGUCACGUCGAGCUUCCAUAGCGUAGUAGUAAAACCCUCGUUACUGGUAAUCGUCGCGGCCACGCCGUUAAACCCCAACUUCUGAAUGUUGACCUCGGAUCAGGUAGGAAUACCCGCUGAACUUAAGCAUAUCAAUAA
rnacentral:misc_RNA from 1 species